rnacentral:lncRNA from 10 species
ACAGAUGAUACUCUGUAAGGCACUUUAAAGCAGGGUAGGGGUAAAUUUGCUAAUGGGAAAAUGUGACUGGAGACAUCUUUGGUGGUAUACAAUAAAUACAGACUCUCUUGAAGUAAUGAGAGAUUGUUGUUCUGAUCAAGGAAAUUGUUGAAGUAGAAGUUUUGGUUCCCUCUAACUCUCUUUUCCAAAUUCUUGUCUGGUCAGUACUUAAGACAGAUGGAUCCUGGAGGUUACCAGUAUGAAGGAUUGAACAGGUCCUGCUGUAUGAUCUGGGGAAAUGGGCCCUAAAUGAAUGAACAAUGAAGAACGUAUCUGCAUGGUUUCUUGUGUGGACAUAUCUGGAAGCUUACUGGAAAAAUUAAAGUGAUUGACUUUAAUACCUGCCCACAAUAACAACACAAAUCCCAGGUCUUCUGACUUCUGCCUAAGAAUGUAGACAUCUAGAAGGAGUACCCAUCUGCCUUCUAGCAAGAGAAAGAUAGAUGGUCCUCAAAAUCCUAAUUUUUCUGGAACCUAUUGGAGAGCUAAUGCUGCAGGACAACAAGUAGCCUGGCAUCUGAGGAAAGACAGGUGCCUCUGCGGACAGAUAGAGAACAAGCAUGGAUUCACCUGUGUAAGAGCAUAAGAGUAAGAGAAGGCCACCAUACAAGUGAAUAAAAAGAAGUCACAGUGACUUUUAAUUAAUUUUCAAAGACUGCUUCUCUGAUACUGUGAGAGUAUGGAAGCUAUGAAGACAGCCAGUUGCAGGCUUUUCUCCAUAGACUUCACUAUGUGCUGAUGAAAAAAGUUUAUUGGCAGGGCAGGUACUAAUAUAGACUACUUUGGAGAUGCAGCCUGAAGAAGAGGUGCAUCCACUGCUGUAGGAAACACAGGAACCCAUCUUUGGUUUCUUCUCACAUAAGGAAAAAAGACUUUUAAGAUGCUGGGGAAUAGCAGAAAGCUCUUGGCCCAGUGCAAGGAGAAGAUGUCUCCAUUGUAGGUAGGGGAAGGAAAAAAAAAAAAAAAAAGGAAAUACUUUAUCCAUAGGUCGAAGCAAGAAAUGUGCUCAGAAGAGCCCAGACCAGUAAAGGUCUCCUUCCAUUGAGUUGGAAGAAGCUCACUGAGAAAAUCCAUAUUCUAAGACUCAGGGAGACAAUGACUGCUUAAACUGAGGCUGAAUCAGGAUGACAGAGAACCUCGUCCACAACCGUAACGCCUCAACCUCCAAGACAGAAGCAACAGAUUAACACUGGAGAUGACUAGAGAAUUUCCCUGUGAGGGGCAGUGGCACAGGGAAGCCCUAAUGAGUGGAGCAGAAACAUCGUGAAAACCCACCAGCAAACUAUCUCCAACCUAAGAACAAACAGGAAUUUAAAGACAGUGGUGAACAAAACUGAAAAUUGGGCUCAACUCUUGAGAUAAAUUUACUCACCUUCCCACAAUAAUAGCCUAGCAGAAGACAAAUGACAUUUACCUAACACAUAAAUACUACUUUUAUCAGUCUCUACCACUCUGAACACUAUGUCUGGAAAUUAAUAAAAAAAUUAACAGACACAAAAAUCAAAUUAAAAACAAAACACACAACCCUUACUGUCAAGAGACAAAGUAAUGAACUGAACAAGACUUAGAGAUGAUCCAGAUGUUGCAACAAUCAGACAGGUAAUUGAAAAUAACUAUGGUUAAUAGGUUAAAGGUUGUAAACAAAGAUGUACAACAUGCAUGGAUAGAUAAAGAUUUCAGCAGAGAAAUGAAAAUGACAAGAAAGAGCCCCAGGAAAGUGCCAGAAAUGAGAACCUCGAUAAGAAAUAUGAAGAAUGCCUUGGGUGGGCUCACCAGUAGACUUGACACAGCUAAGCAAAGUGAUAGAGGAUGUGAAAGUCAGUUAAUAGUAAUUACCUAAACUGUCAAAUGAUAAAAGAGUGAAGAAAAAAGGAAACAAAACACUCAAAUGCCGUAAGAAAAUAUCAUUAGUGUGAUAUAUGUGUCAUUGAAAUCCUAGAGAAAACAGAGAGAGAAUGUGAGGCAGAAGAAAUAUUUGAAGAGAUAGUGGUUACAAAAUUUUAAAGAAUAAUUUAUCAAACUAUAGAUAUAAUAACUUCAGAGAACCCAAAGUAAUUGAUUGGAUAGUAAUUGAUUGACUAGAAAUCAAUAAUGAAUUCGCAGAUGUGAACAGUAUUAUCAAAGCCUUCACCAACCAAAUCGACUUUUAUUGAACACUAAAUAUAAGCAGAAUAUACAUAAUUUUCAAGUGCAUGUAGAACAUAUAGUAUAGUCUAUAUAUCGUGGUUCUGGCCAUAAUUCAAACCUCAAUACAUUUAAAAACAUGUACAUAGUAUAUUCUUUGAUCAUAAUGGAAUUAAAAUAGAAAUCACAAACAGGUAUCUGGAAUAAUUGCCGAAUAUUUUUACUGAUGAGCACACAUCUAAAUAUCACUUUAAAUGGCAAAAACCACAAUUUUUUUUUUACCAACCUAAUAACUCACAGGUCAAAGAGAAAAUCAUAGGGGACAUCUGAAAAUAAUUUGAAUUGAAUAAAAGAAAAUAAUCUCUCUCUCAUGCAAAAUUUGCGGGAUGCAAAUAAAGCACAAUUUAAAGAGAAAUGUAUAGCAUUUCAUGUUUAUAUGAAAAAAGUCUUAAAUCAGUGAUUUAAAAUUCCUCCUUAAGAAACUUGAAAAAAGUAAAUUAAACCAAAGUAAGUAACUGCAAAGUAAUAAUAAAGAACAUAAAUAAAAUUGGAAAUGGAGCAGCAGAGAAAAAUCAGUGAAAGCCUAUGAUGAGACUCACCAACAAGGAAGAAGACACAAAUUAUUAUAUCACAAAUUAAAAAGAGGACAUUGUUGCAGACCCUACAUACAUUAUAUUCUCUAUAGAUAUAGAAAAAAAUUAUAUUCUCUAUAGAUACAGAAAAAUAAUUUUACAAAAUUCAAUAUUCAUUCAUGAUAAACUCUAAAUUUUAGGUAGAAUGGAAUUUACCCAACAUGAUAAGAAACAGCUACAGAAAACCUACAGCAAACAUCAUACUUACUGAUAAAAGACUGAACCCUCACUCUAAGGCAAAAGAAAAAUGUUCUUACCACCCACAUUUAACAUUAUACUGGAGGUUCUAGGCAGUGUAAUAAGAAAAAGAACUAGGCAUACAAAUAGAAAAAAAAAUAUGUGCAAUUGUAGUUAUUCACUUUCAACAUGAUUGUAUUUGAAGAAGAUUUCAAAGAAUGUACAAAACAAAGUUACUGAAGAUACAAGAUCACAAUUUAAAAAUUUAAUGGUAUUUUUAGGUACUGACAAUGAACAGUAAGAAAUGGGAAUACCACCAUUGAUGGUGGAAAAAGAUGAGCUACUUAGGUAUAAAUGUAAUAAAAUAUUUAAAAGAUGUGUAUGGUAAAGGCUACAAAACAGUGAAGAAAGAAAUCAAAAAGGCUGAAAUAAAUGGAGAGGCAUAUUAUAUUCAUGUAUUGAAAGACUCAGUAGUGUUAAGAUGCCAAAUAUGUCCAAAUUCCAAGUUGAUCAAAUCAGUAAAUACAAUCCAAAUCAAUGUCAUGGCAAUAUUUGUCAUAGAAAUGCACAAGAGAUUAUAAAAUUUAUGUGGAAUGGCAAAUGAACAAGAAUAACCAAAAUUGUUUUGCCUAGAAAAACAAACUUGACAUUCACAUGCUGCCUUAUUUCAAGACUUUUUAUAAAGCUAGAGAUAGUAACUCAGUAUGGAAUUGGCCAAUGAAUAGGCAUAUAGAGUGUAACUGAAAUGAGAGUCCAGAAACAGACUCACACGUAUACAGUAAUUGACAUUUGCCAAAGUGCAGAGGCAAAUAAAUGGAACAAGUGAUAGUCUUUUCAAAAAUUGUGCUGGAAUAAUUUCACAUCCGUAUGCAAUAACUUUUUUAAGUUAGUAACAAACCCUAAAUCUCUUUAUCAUCUGUUUUAAGUAACAAGUAUUUUAAUUGUUUCAUUUUAUAUCCAUGGAGUUAGAAAAUAUAUGUGAUAUUUUCCAGGGAGCCAUUUCUUAUAAAUCCACAGACUGUAGGUUUCUUUACCAUAAACAAUACUAACUAGAAACAUUUUAGUCAAAAGAUUUCUGAGAUUAGGAUUUUUCUCCUAGUAAGUACCAUUGGUUUAUUUACCAUAAAGUCUCUUGUUUACACGUUUACAAUACAAUGUGACCAGAUCAUCUGCCUUCUUUCUUUCUCAAAAUUGUCCUCCAGAUAUGGUAAUGAAAUGAUUGAAGAGUAGCCUUAUAGCCUCUUCCUUUCCAUAUCCCUUCCAAAGCCUGUUAGAAUAUGUUCUGAGGUAAUUAUUUCAAAAGGAGUUCAUAGGAGGUCAACUUUGAGUUCUUGCUUGUUUGGAAAAUUCUUUAUUAUGCCUAUGAUUCAUUUAUAAUAUGUCUGGGUAUAUAGAAUUCAGAAUGCUUUUUGUUUUGUUGUUGUUGGUUUUUGGCUUGUUUGUUUUCUGUCAUUUGUUUGAAUCCAUUGCUGCUUGUUGUUCUAGGAGAAAGUGUUACAGCUGAGAAAUACGGCAGUGGUCUUAUGUUCAUUCAAUUGUAGUCAAUUUGAUUUUUUUUCUUGGAAAUUUUAGGCAUGCUUGCGUAUGUGUAAAAAUGCCCUGAGGUUUAAAUUAAUGACUUGUGUAUUUACAACCAGUAUACUUUCUUCCCUUUACUAUAUGUAUAUGUGUUAAGCUUCAAUUAAGGGGUUAAGAAAAGUAAAGUUUUAUACAAUACAAUAAAGCUGUAAAUUUUAAAUUUCAAAAUAAAUUUUAA